CCUACGGGAGGCAGCAGUAGGGAAUAUUGGGCAAUGGGCGAGAGCCUGACCCAGCCAUGCCGCGUGCCGGAUGAAGGCCUUCUGGGUUGUAAACGGCUUUUCUCAGGGAAGAAAAAGACCUUGCGAGGUACACUGACGGUACCUGAGGAAUAAGCACCGGCUAACUCCGUGCCAGCAGCCGCGGUAAU
rnacentral:rRNA from 1 species